rnacentral:lncRNA from 1 species
CCAGGAAAUGGAAGAGAGGUUGCCAGUGACUAUAUCAGCACUCAUCCACAGAUGUCUUGAUACUUUUCCUGCAAGAGAAACACCUUGAGAUAACUCUACAAAACCAGGAUCAAAUUAUCACAAAAAAACUUCACAGAGUGAAGAAUGAAGGAAAAGAAAAAUGAUCACAAAUGGGUUUUUGUUUUAAUCAGGAAAUACGGUUAUACACAUCUACAAGCAAGGACUGGAUGUUCUAUGUCAUGGAUCUCCCAAAACCCCUGGCACCAUUGGUUGACGGUCCAAAGUAUUUGACUUGCUAAAGAAUCUUUCCCUCCUAGAAGCUUUGGUAUCAGGAUGAUGCUGGCCUCAUAAAAUGA